rnacentral:lncRNA from 1 species
GGAUGAUGCCCACCUUCCCUGAGAUGCCUGCUGUCCUGGAAAAUCUUCUGGAUCUAUACAGUUAAACCCUCUGCAGCAUCCCCAUUAGGACCCCAAGAUCAUCAAAUCCUGACCCCGGCCCUUUAGCCCUUUCCUGUUCUUACAGCCACACAGAAACUGAAAAGCAAAGGGAAGGGUGGCACCUUUUGAGGCCUCAGGAAGACUCUGGGCUAUAGGCAGCACUCUGUCUGCUCAUGGAUAGCCAUGGCUAUCCUGGCUCUCUCAUUCUGCCUGUGUGCCAAGAUGAGCAUAAGCAAGACUGCCUACUCCCGGAGUUAUAGGUGGGGCUAACAGGACACAGUGCCUCUUCCUCUUAGAGGAAACUUUAAUAUAAUUAGUGCCCUGUCACUGGGCAGGACAAGUUUCUUCUACUUUGGCAUCUCCAACUUUCAUCAUGUCUUUAAACCCUGCCCUCCCAGGUCAUAUUAGCUCAUGAGAGACAAUUGUUAGCAUCUCUUCCUAACUCCAAAUUCACUGGUGCCUCAUUGAUAGCUUGCAGAGGCAUUUACCCUGCAGAAACCAGCAAAGACCACAAACUAGCGCUCUUUUUCUGGAAAUUCAUUUGUCAAACAUUUACCAAUGCACCAUCACUUUGAUCCCAGGAUAUGAACUGACACAUUUCUCCUGGUUUCAGUGGCAGACUCACCUCAUGGUCAUAAAGGAUAUAGCAUUGAGAGAAGUGAGGAAGAAGAAAAAAACACAGGACCAGUUCAUACUUCAAGUUAUUAUUAUUCAAAGGGCACCCCACACAGGUGCAAUUGUCCUGUGUUCCCUGACUCUGCUCCAUUCCAGUCCCCUACCUCCCUGUAAUUGCAAUCUAAGGCACAUUUUCCUUUUUAAGAGAAAAUUUAAUACCAAAAAUAUCAUUAAAGAGUCUAGCACCUGAGAAUUCUUGUCUGAGGCAAUGUGAAUUUUUUUCUUUUUAAAAUCAGGAAUACUGAUGAGUUUCCUUAUUGGAGUAUCACAGGGGAUUCUGAUUCUGUUGGAAUCCUGGCCAAGAGCUUCAUGUGCAGAGGGUGGUUAAUUGAUGGAGCGACACUGUAGGAAAGUUAAACAGAUAAGUUCCAGGACUACCCACUGCAAUUAGGAUAUAAAUCAUUUAGUGAUGUACAAAUUAAACAAAUAAUGUACCCAAUGUUUUAAAAAUUGAUCUUGAUUAUAUUCUAUUACAAAAAAUAGCAUACAAUUAGUUCUUG